rnacentral:rRNA from 1 species
UACUUAGGGCGCAAGCGUUGUCCGGAAUUAUUGGGCGUAAAGAGCUCGUAGGCGGCCUGUUGCGUCCGCUGUGAAAACCCGGGGCUUAACCCCGGGCUUGCAGUGGAUACGGGCAGGCUGGAGGCAGGCAGGGGAGAACGGAAUUCCCGGUGUAGCGGUGAAAUGCGCAGAUAUCGGGAGGAACACCGGUGGCGAAGGCGGUUCUCUGGGCCUGUACUGACGCUGAGGAGCGAAAGCGUGGGGAGCGAACAGG